AACGAACGCUGGCGGCAGGCUUAACACAUGCAAGUCGAGCGCCCCGCAAGGGGAGCGGCAGACGGGUGAGUAACGCGUGGGAAUCUACCCAUCUCUACGGAAUAACGCAUGGAAACGUGUGCUAAUACCGUAUACGUCCUUCGGGAGAAAGACUUAUCGGAGAUGGAUGAGCCCGCGUUGGAUUAGCUAGUUGGUGGGGUAAAGGCCUACCAAGGCGACGAUCCAUAGCUGGUCUGAGAGGAUGAUCAGCCACACUGGGACUGAGGCACGGCCCAGACUCCUACGGGAGGCAGCAGUGGGGAAUAUUGGACAAUGGGCGCAAGCCUGAUCCAGCCAUGCCGCGUGAGUGAUGGAGGCCCUAGGGUUGUAAAGCUCUUUCACCGGUGAAGAUAAUGACGGUAACCGGAGAAGAAGCCCCGGCUAACUUCGUGCCAGCCGCCGCCGUAAGAC
rnacentral:rRNA from 1 species